rnacentral:lncRNA from 1 species
CGCGCUACUUUGACCUUAUUAGAUAUAUACCCUAAAAGCCAAUUAGGCUGACACAUGUAAAACUUGCUAAGGACAUAAUUUAAUUUUGACUUAUUAAUAAAAUAAAAUUAGAUUAUUUUUCAUUCAUAUUGUAUAAUGUAUCUAUGAAUCAUCCAAUGAAUUAAUAACAUAAUGAUACACAUUCUCAAGAUUUAAGAAUUUGAAGCAUGUAUUAUUAAUAGUUAAUUCAUAAAUUACUCUCGAUCAGUAGAUCAUCACGAG